GGACGCGGAGCUGUUGGGAUCGCGCCAUGGCCUGGGCCCCUCUCCUGCUCGCGGUGCUCGCCCACGGCUCAGGUUCCCUGGUCCAGGCAGCAGUGACUCAGCAGCCGCCCUCGGUGUCUGCGUCCCUGGGAGAAACCGUCCGGAUCACCUGCUCUGGGGCUAGCAGUGAUUACGAUGGUAUAAGCAGCUAUGCCUGGUUCCAGCAGAAGCCUGGCAGUGCCCCGGUCACUGUGAUAUAUCAGAACAACAAGCGACCCUCGGGCAUCCCUGCGAGAUUCUCCGGUUCCUUGUCUGGCUCCACGGCCAUCUUAACCAUCACCAGGGUGCAAGCCGAGGAUGAAGCCGUGUAUUACUGUGGUGGCUAUGCUGGUGGUUAUACUGGUGCCACCGUGACAGGGAGCAAAAGGCAAGUGUGA